CACUACUACCACCACGACCACCACCACCACCACCAUCACCGUCAUCGUUACCACCACAUCAGCAACAUCGUCACCACUACAGUUAUAUCGCCGCUACACCCACCCGCGCGCACGACUUUGAUCGUCGCGCCGCGGAUCCGCUUCCUCGGUCGUCGUCGCGCGCGCGUUCCGCCGAUUCCCGCGCGCGCGAGAGAGACAGAGAGGAAGAGAAGAGGAAGGAGAGACGCGCCGCGCGACGGUUACACUCGAGAGUUUCACGGCCGCGACCCGAUUGCGAUCGGCGAAAGGAAAGAAGGCUCGCGAGAAGAGAGCGAAGAGGCAAUAAUCCGCCGCGUGUGCCUACGUGCUAACGUGUGUUCCGUGCGUGCGUGCGUGCGUGCGUGCAUACAUGCAUGCAUGCAUGAGUGAGUGAGUGAGCGUGUGAGCGAACCGCGAUCGGAACUCGCGCGCGUCUCUCUCGCUCAGCUCGCCGCGUCGUAUCGUGCCGUGCCGUGCCGUGCCGUGUUCCCGGUGGUCACACAGUGCUUGCGCGUCGUGCCGCGCGUGCUACGUCCUUCUCGUUCCGGUGUGUCGUCAUCCACGCGCACCAACGACAAAGAAAGCGCGCGCGAGUGAGCGAACGAGCGAGCGCGUGCUGAACGAGCGCGCCUCGUACAUCCCAGUGACAGCACGACGCCGAUUAUCGCGCGGAGGUGCUCGCGUUCUCUCCGUUUCCCACCGCUUCAUAGUGCCGUUGCGACGACGUAUCAUUGCAUUGCCCCGCCGCCGACAAAGAGCAUGAAGGCUGACAGCGACGCGAAGUGACCGGGCCCUUUCGUCCUCCUCCCCCCACCCACCCCC